rnacentral:rRNA from 1 species
UGGGGAAUUUUGGACAAUGGGCGAAAGCCUGAUCCAGCAAUGCCGCGUGUGUGAAGAAGGCCUUCGGGUUGUAAAGCACUUUUGUCCGGAAAGAAAUCCUUGGCUCUAAUACAGUCGGGGGAUGACGGUACCGGAAGAAUAAGCACCGGCUAACUACGUGCCAGCAGCCGCGGUAAUACGUAGGGUGCAAGCGUUAAUCGGAAUUACUGGGCGUAAAGCGUGCGCAGGCGGUUUGCUAAGACCGAUGUGAAAUCCCCGGGCUCAACCUGGGGAACUGCAUUGGUGACUGGCAGGCUAGAGUAUGGCAGAGGGGGGUAGAAUUCCACGUGUAGCAGUGAAAAUGCGUAGAGAUGUGGAGGAAUACCGAUGGCGAAGGCAGCCCCCUGGGCCAAAUACUGACGCUCAUGCACGAAAAGCGUGGGGGAGCAAAACAGGAUUAGAUACCCUGGUAGUCCACGCCCUAAAACGAUGUCAACUAGUUGUUGGGGGAUUCAUUUCCUUAGUAACGUAGCUAACGCGUGAAGUUGACCGCCUGGGGAGUACGGUCGCAAGAUUAAAAACUUAAAUGAAUUGACGGGGUCAUA